UGCAGCGAUAUCACGUUGAAACACUGGUUUUAGUACGAUCACCGAAGUUAAGCAAAGUUGAGCCUGGUCAGUACCUAGAUGAGUGAUCAUUUGUGAAUACCUG